rnacentral:misc_RNA from 1 species
UCUCCGUUGGUGAACCAGCGGAGGGAUCAUUACAGAGUUUUUAACUCCCAAACCCAUGUGAACUUACCAUUGUUGCCUCGGCGGAGCCUACCCUGUAGCUACCCUGUAGGGUGGUUACCCUGUAGCGCCCCGCCGGUGGACCACACCAAAACUCUUGUUGUUACAGUGUCAUUCUGAAUUUAAAAACUUAAUCAGUUAAAACUUUCAACAACGGAUCUCUUGGUUCUGGCAUCGAUGAAGAACGCAGC